UAUAUGGGAUUAAAGACCUAU
rnacentral:snRNA from 1 species